UGUUGGAUUGUAUUUCACCAACAAGAAGGAAAAAAGGGCAAAAAACCCAUGACGGUGUAUUCCGUUGUAAAUACAAAUAUUUUAGGUAUAUAUUGAUUCUUUUUAUUCCAUGCACUAGGUACAUAACGAAAAUUCUGUGGGAUUUAUUCCUCUGUUGUCAUUUGAACUCUCUGGAACAUAAGAAAUGACGUAAUUUUUAAUGUUUAAUGUAUCUGUCUACACGUUGAUGCCCACAUUCUUAAGUUUCUUCUCUCCAACAAUAAUAACUAUCCUAUUGAAAUGGAGAUUUGAAAGUGUGAAUAGUGAAUAAUCAAACAUAUCAUGAGGGUUUGAUGGACCUGAUUAGAAACCAUUUGUAAUUUAUUAUUAAAAAGAAUGAUUGAUGUGAGAUGGUAUGCUUGAUGCCUUGUGUGAUAUGGUUGUGGUUGCUGGCCACUAGCUGAGUUCAAGCCAUAUUCUUGUGUUGGUAUACUUUAGGUUAAAAAAACCUUUCCUCCAGGUUUCAUGCCCUUUGAGUUUGAGGUCUGGUAAUUGUAAGGCAAUAGAAAUGUGUAUCUAGCAUAUAAGGCCUAUGUUGAAGUACAUAUUGUACAGAUUGAGCUCGAUUUCUUUGACACUGCCAGUUCGUCAACUGUAUCUCUGGUUUCUUGCUCUAACCCAAUAUGUGCUUCUGUAGUUCAAGCUGCAGCUGCAGAAUGCUCUUCACAGAGUAAUCAGUGUGAUGAUUCAUUUCAGUAUGGAGAUGGAAACGGGACAUCUGGUUAUUAUUGAACUGAUUUGUUGUAUGUAAAAUUUUUACACAAAUAUGGGGGCUUCUUUAGUCAAUAACUCUUCUGCUCCAGCUAUUUUUGGGUGUAGCACCUAUCAAUCUGGGAACUUAACGAAGAGGGAUAGAGUAAUUGAUGGGAUUGAGUAAUUGAUGGGAUUAUUAGGUUGGUCAACAGGAUCUGUCUGUCACAUCACAACUGGCAUCACGAGGGAUUACUCCUAACGUGUUCUCCCUUGAUAUUUGUGAUUUGAACCAUUUAUUUAAAUCAUACCCACCGAAGAGGCUUUUGUUUUAUUGUUCAGUGUUUUGUUUUGCAGCUAAGACUAAACAAAUAGUGGACUUACUGGACUAUAGAAUAUGGUUAUGUUGUCUCUUGUUCAUGAGUAAAGAAAUAUUAUAUGUAAUGGAUGUUGCUAUUCUCUGCUUCUAAAGAGUAAUCAUCCCCAUGGAAGGAGCAAUUUAUCAUGAUUACUCUAUUUGACUUGAGAUUGGUUUUUGAUGACAUUUGGAAGUAUACGUGCAAAUGAAGAUCAACUGUUGAAUUUUUUUUCCU